GGACAAAACGCUAUAUAUCUCACCGAUGGAGAAGAGAUCCUAAUCUAAAAGCUAAUAUAGAGUAUAUAGAUAUUUGUGGCUGUUUGCGGCUGACUGAAGCAGUGCUACAAGUAGGAAUGUAACCCAUACGAAAAUUUGCUUAGAGAAGAAAGAAGACAAGUUUGGAAUGAGUAUGAAAUAAGGCAGGACGUCCUAUACAGGCUCUACACUAGCACAGCUCUCCACAGACCUCUUCACUGAAAUAUCGCUACACCAUCUCACUCAUAACUGUAACAUUGUUCUGGAAAGAGAUUUUCAUUGCAGCUGAGAGAUUGCAGCGUUUAUGAAAACUGAACUCCCAUCAGCCCAGAAGUGCUGGUGAGUCUGGCCCUUCGCAUCAGAAUGCAGCAUUUCUGCUAGAGUAAAUGAGCACCAUGUGCUCUGUGGCUAUCGCUUCCUUCAUCAUCCCUCCUUCAUCCUCUUCUCACCAUGUGUAAAGCGGUUCAGCCCCAGGGAUGCACGUCUGGCGAAGGGCUGUUGUGGAAACUCACACAAGCUCCUUAUCGUUCAGAUCUCAGAGAGUCAUGCAUCCAGCUCGGUUUCCCCACAGCACCUUCAUCUCAUUCGGUCUCACACAUCAGCCAAGCCCCUCCACCCCAGCUCUACACACCCAGACAUUUGUGAGCAAGAAUCAGGCCAGGAGCUCCAGUCAGCCAUUCUU